AUUGAACGCUGGCGGCAGGCUUAACACAUGCAAGUCGAGCGGAGAGAGGUAGCUUGCUACUGAUCUUAGCGGCGGACGGGUGAGUAAUGCUUAGGAAUCUGCCUAUUAGUGGGGGACAACAUUUCGAAAGGAAUGCUAAUACCGCAUACGUCCUACGGGAGAAAGCAGGGGAUCUUCGGACCUUGCGCUAAUAGAUGAGCCUAAGUCGGAUUAGCUAGCUGGUGGGGUAAAGGCCUACCAAGGCGACGAUCUGUAGCGGGUCUGAGAGGAUGAUCCGCCACACUGGGACUGAGAAACGGCCCAGACUCCUACGGGAGGCAGCAGUGGGGAAUAUUGGACAAUGGGCGCAAGCCUGAUCCAGCCAUGCCGCGUGUGUGAAGAAGGCCUUAUGGUUGUAAAGCACUUUAAGCGAGGAGGAGGCUACUUUAGAUAAUACCUAGAGAUAGUGGACGUUACUCGCAGAAUAAGCACCGGCUAACUCUGUGCCAGCAGCCGCCGUAA
rnacentral:rRNA from 1 species